rnacentral:rRNA from 1 species
CCUACGGGAGGCAGCAGUGGGGAAUAUUGGACAAUGGGCGAAAGCCUGAUCCAGCCAUGCCGCGUGUGUGAAGAAGGCCUUCGGGUUGUAAAGCACUUUCAGUGGGGAAGAAAGCCUUGGGGCUAAUACCCUCGAGGAAGGACAUCACCCACAGAAGAAGCACCGGCUAACUCCGUGCCAGCAGCCGCGGUAAUACGGAGGGUGCGAGCGUUAAUCGGAAUUACUGGGCGUAAAGCGCGCGUAGGUGGUCUGAUAAGCCGGUUGUGAAAGCCCCGGGCUCAACCUGGGAACGGCAUCCGGAACUGUCAGGCUAGAGUGCAGGAGAGGAAGGUAGAAUUCCCGGUGUAGCGGUGAAAUGCGUAGAGAUCGGGAGGAAUACCAGUGGCGAAGGCGGCCUUCUGGACUGACACUGACGCUGAGGUGCGAAAGCGUGGGUAGCAAACAGGAUUAGAUACCCUAGUAGUC